rnacentral:rRNA from 1 species
AUGAUCUAUCGCCCGCCCAUGUACUAUACUGAUGAGUAUCACAUUGUAGCUUUGUCUAUGGCGGGAAUCCCAGAUGUACAUGGCUAUGUGGCUGCAAGUACAGUUUUAAGGAGACCUGAUGGAUUAGUGGUGCUUGCAACCUAUCGAGUCCUAUUCAACUACAACGAUGCCCUGGAGGCAGAGAUCCAUGCACUCAUGCAAGGCAUGGCCUUGGCUAUCCAGCACACGGACUUGUCGACCAUCGUCCAAUCAGAUUCCACCAUACGUUUGUAA